rnacentral:piRNA from 1 species
UUGAAUGGGUGAGGUCCUGUUGCAGUCUU